GUGAGUGAGAGGGAGGGAUUUUGCGUCGAUGUGACACUGCAGAGUCUGCAUCCAGUGCAGCGGCUGCAAACCCUCUCUGACAUAUUGUCGUGCAGUGGCCUGUGUCCUGUCACCGCAGCUGAGCAGCAGUUAGACAGGUCGAAAAGACGGGUCAACGGAGCGGGGCGGCGAUAAAACAAAGAAAACACUAUGUUGUAAGAGAGAAAGGCAAAACCUGGCACAUCUUCACCGAGGCUGACGUCACAGCUGAAGAAUGAGACGGCUACAACAACCAUCACAAUGGACUACUGUCCCGACUACCGCCCCGGCUACCGCCUCGCUAAUUCCCCCUCUCAGUGCACCGGCAUGUUGGGACACGGACGGAUUUAAUGACAUCAAUCAAGCAAUUAUCUUCAGCCCAGUGGGUGCAAUCCCAGAGACACUGUCACAGAGGAAGACGAGUUUAAUCCUUCGUGUGUUAAAGUUACUACAAACAUCACAGGUGGUUUGUUUAGCCCGUCUCCUGCAGGAGCUUUGUUUAUAGAGUCUGAUUCACUGUUGCAUCAAAUAUGUCUAUUUGUCAUCGUCCGGUAUCGUGGCCUAAUCCGACAAAAUCCUGCCACAGAUCAGCUCAGGAAUGCUGCAGGCUGCACUUCACCCCAUGUGAGGGAGUCUCCCAGCAGCUCUCCUGCCGCCGCUCGCUCAUAAAACAUCACAGAGGUGCACUUGUUUACUAGACAAAACUUGGUUUACGUUGACUAUCCACAUCAGGGCUCUCGGCAAACGUCCGAGUCAGCUGCUGUCGGACAUUCUCCGGAGUUUCCCCCAAGCUAAAACUCCAGAGAGUGUCCGGAUGAGCCCAUGUGAGAAUAAAGCAGAAGAUUAUCAAAGAUCAUCAAAUAUCUCCGGAUGGAAAACAUGAGCCAAACAUGUAAAGACGCUGGACAGAGAUUCGAGGAGCUCAUCUCCGCAGCUGAGAAUCUCCUGCUGCGUUUGUCGCAUGUGAAAGGCAAACCGGAGAAAGUCCCCAUUGUGCGGACAUUCUCUGGGGUUCAUGUCUGAAAACAGCUGGACUUUCAGGAGAUUAUCCAGAAUUCAAUGCGUGCUUAAUAACAAUAAAGUGUUCUUUUACAUA